rnacentral:rRNA from 1 species
AUUGAACGCUGGCGGCAGGCCUAACACAUGCAAGUCGAGCGAGCGGCGGACGGGUGAGUAAUGUCUGGUAAACUGCCUGAUGGAGGGGGAUAACUACUGGAAACUGUAGCUAAUACCGCAUACCAUCAGAUGUGCCCAGAUGGGCGUAGCUAGUAGGUGGGGGAAUGGCUCACCUAGGCGACGAUCCCUAGCUUGUCUGAGCGGAUGACCAGCAACACUGGAACUGAGACAAGGUCUAGAAGCCUACGGGAGGCAGCAGUAGGAAAUAUUGCGCAAGGGGCGCAAGCCUGAUGCAGCCAUGCCGCGUGUGUGAAGAAGGCCGUCGGGGUGUAAAGCACGUUCAGCGAGGUGGCGUUCUCGCAGAAAAGCACCGGCUAACUCCGUGCCAGCAGCCGCGGUAAUAC